rnacentral:lncRNA from 1 species
GCGAGAGACAUCUCUGAGAAUCUACGACCGCAGAAAGGGAGUCCUAGGAGGGCAGAGAGAUGGGAAGUCCUGCUGAAUGUGAGCAGGCAGCUGCGUUGGGGUGGGGUGGGGGGCUGUUGUCUGUGCCCUGGGUGCAGAGGGGAGAGAUGGAGCGUUGUUGUCAUUGAUUCCUCUGCCUGUGCUUUUCAACACAAAGCAAACCUUCCUCCCUUACCUUACUGUCCUGGAUCCGGGGACCCCACCUUGGGUCAGAGAAUAGGUAUGAUGGCUUUCCUUUUAUUCUUUUCCUCAUCUUCCAAUGUGUGACUCCCUUUUUGUUUCAUUUGUCCUUCUCUUUGGUCUAUAAUGAUAGGACUAUGGUGAUGCUUGGGAUCUUGAAGAAUCAUUGGAUUCAUUCCCUGAUUUUAGAAAAGAAUAAGUUCCUGUUUUUCGAAUUAAACAAAAUUUUAAAUUUAAUUAUAAUUAACUUUAAAAAAACUUGCAAUCUUUUUUAUUGAUGUGGGCACUUCCAUCAGAGGCGACUUAGAAAAUAAAAUUCAAAGCCAGCCUCCCAUGCCUGGUCAUCCACAGUAACCAGAUGGUGGCAUUGUGAUGUGAUUAUUUUAUUCUAGAAUGCAUAGAUAUGAUCAUACUCUGGGCUCUCUCUCUCUCUUUUUACUCAUGCUCCAUGAAAAUCUUUAUUCCUCAACUCUGAUUGCAGAGAUAAAACCACUGACCCCACCUCAGACAAGGCUCCCAUUGAGGCUAUCAGGACCCGAAUACCUUUUCAUUGAGCCAAUGUCACUGAGAUGAAGCUGGACGCCUGAUCAUGUAGACAGUGAAAAAGACUUUGCAUUUUGUUCUAAAUCUUAUGAGAAGUCAUAAACGGGAGGGUUUUGCUCACAGGUUUGAUGUGAUUGAUCUUAUUUUAGCUAUGUUGGGAACAGACAAUAGACUGUAACAGUGGAAGCAGGGUGAGAAUCUAGAAGGUUCUGUAGUCCAGGUUCAUGAUGAUGAUGACUUGGAUAUGAUGUUAGCAGUGGGAGUGUAAAAAUUCCAGAUUCAAAAUCUAUUUUGAAGAUAAAGCCAAUGGGAUUUGCUGAUAAAUUGUCUGCGUAGACUGAAAAACAGGGAAAAGUGAAGGAUAAAUGUUGAGAAACUGUGCCACGAGAGAGAAAAACUGGAUGUUGAUCCAAAAGAAUUUAGAAAUUAAUUUUCCAUGUGAAUAUUUAUAAGUGUUUCUUGUGUUAAUUUUCUUUAAAAUGGAAAAUGAAGCCAAGGUUUAUUGAAGUAUUUUCCAUCAUCAGCAUAGACGUAAAUACAACAUUUUUGAUGCAGGCUGCAAAUUUCAUUUCCUAACUAUUUAUUAGACUGAGUUAAUCAACCUCAACUAUCUAGUCAAAAUUCAGUCUUAAUAAUAAAUUAUCACUCCUAUUUUGUAGUAAUAUGGUG